rnacentral:lncRNA from 1 species
CCCCAUUCUCUCAUAUUCCUCCCUCUCAUCUCUCUUCUCCAAAACCCUAGCCGCAGAAAGAUCCACCUCCGGCGGCACCGCCCUAAACACUUCCAAAUGACCCCAAAAUCAACACCAGAAGACUUCCGUCUUCUCCUCUUUCCAAAUAUCCUAAUCUCACUCUUUGACACCCAUUAGAACUCGCCCAAUAAUAGAUCUAAAAAUGGGACGCACCACAAUCCUUUCCUCUUGUUGUUUUUGCCGAUUUUGGAGUGGUAUAGGGAUAAAAUACACACCAAUCAACUGGCCUUGUGUUGAACUACUGGUUGGUGUUGGCUUCGAGUUGUUUCAUGGUCGUCAGAAUCCAAUUGUAUUUUCAUUUGCCCCUCCGAAUUUCUCCCUCUCUCUGACCUUAGUAGUCAUCAGGAUAUGUAUCACUGGUCGAGUUUUAUACACACAAAGCUAGUGGUCAUUCGUUGAUGACCACUGAUGUUCGAAAAAUCCUUUGCCGAGUAGUCAUUUGCAUUCUUAGGAGGUAACAUAUUUUCUCAUUUUUCUUGUUUGAAAUGGUUCAGUGAUUCAUUUAGUUAAAUUAAUUGCUAGUUUUGCAUUUAGUUAGUAAUCAAUUAUUUGAAUGUCAGCAUGCUUAGGUUAGUCUUUGAUCAGUAGUAAAAUUAUUUGAAAUUAGUUGUUGGUUGAAUUUGAAGUUAAAUAGUUUGUUGGUGUUUUAAAUUGCAUAUUUAUCUAAUUAACGGAUUAAUUAGUCAUUUCUUCACGCUUAAUUUGUGCUCGGUAGCUUAGCUGUUAAUUUAGCUUAAUUAACUAUUAUUUGAUGCUAUUAAGAAAGAAGGCAGUACCUUUGGGUAAAAGAAAAGAUUAAAGAAUGGUAUUGAUUUGGACUUGAGGAGGGUAAAGUGCAAUAACAUAAAUUAAUUAAGUCAGAUUUUGGGAUAAAAAGUGUGAAUUUUCAGAAGUUAAAAGAGUGAAAAAUGAGGAAAACUUCUAGAAAAGGACAACUGUCUAAUUUGGUUAGAAAAGAUAAUGAAAAUUAGGAAAAUAUUUGAGAAUAAAAGGACAGUUCUCCAUUUAUUGUUAGAGAAGAUGCCAUUUUCCUAAAUUUUAGGGAAGGCUGGCAGAUUCUCUUAGACUCUCUCUCAUUCUCUCUUAUAGCACACACAUAGUUUAUAUAAGGGGGAUUCAUUCUGCAUUUUGGGGGACAGACGGGGAUACACACGAAAAGAAAACUCUCUGAAUUCAGAAUUCUCUGCUUGCUAAUUUUCUGUUUAUAGUCAUUAGCUGAAUCUCACUUUUAGGAGUCCUGAGUCCUUAGUUGAUCACUAUUCUGCUGUGUUGCUGUUGUUCCUUCCUACUGUGAGCUGAACUCCAUCUCUAUUUGUUUGAUAAUUGAUUGUCAGAUUUUAUCCCUUUACCUUCCUACUUUAGGUAUGUAAUGGUUUUCCUUUGACAGUGUCUUGUUGAGCAUAUAAAUGAAAGUUUGUUUCUGUUUGGUUAACUCAUGUUUAAGUUUGUGUAUUUGGUUGUGCUUGACUCCCAGAUUUGCCUAUGCUUGUUUUCUUUUGGAUUGCUUGUUUUACCUUGAAAGCUUAAGUUAAAGUUGCAUGUUUAUCUUGAUGAUGGCUUUUGUUAAUUCACGGCCUAGUCAAUGAAAAAAUUAGUUGCUCAAAUUGUAAAAAAUCAGUUGUCAUUUAAUCUGAGACUAUUCUAUUAUUAUCUAGCUAGCUAGUCAUGGCCUAAAAGGUCUGACCAAGUCGAAAGAUGCGUAGUCUUUGAGUUUGAUCACUAGUUGAUCAAACUUAUUGAUUGAAGUCUUUGGGAAGCCUGCAAGCUAUAGUGGAUGAAUUUGGAGGUCCAUAGCAUACCAAGUUUCUACGCUAGCAACUAUUGUAUUUGUAAUCACUGAUAGUCCCUGCUUUUUGAUGAGUUAAUUCGAAGCAAGAAGAAUUUUAUUUUCUUUGACAUACACAUGUUCUGAUUCGUGGAUAAUUGUACUUCUGGAGGAGUAUUUAAUUUAGUGGUUCAAGUAUUUAUAUUGACAACCCAGCUCGCUUUUGUAAUUCCAACCCAAGUAACUUGAUUAGUUCAUCUGGGAGUCAUUACUUGAUUAGUAUUUCUUAAAUUGUCUUCGAUGCAAUCUAGCUUCAUGUAACUUCUUUUGAUCACAUGUUUGUAUCAAUGUUAUUAUGAUUUAACACAUCAAUUUGAGACAGUACGUCAUUGUAAGUUGUUAAUUUAAUUGUCAAAAUAUUAGUUCGG